rnacentral:rRNA from 1 species
CUAGCCCUAAACGAUGAUCGCUUGGUGUAGCAGGUACCCAAUCCUGCUGUGCCGGAGCUAACGCGUUAAGCGAUCCGCCUGGGGANAACGCGAAGAACCUUACCUGGGCUCGAAGCGCAGUGGACCGCGGUAGAAAUAUCGCUUUCCCGCAAGGGACCGCUGCGUAGGUGC